AUGUUUGGAUUUGGGAUGCAGAUGAUCCCGGAUGCUGCAGGAUUCCAUUUCAAGCUGUCACAGCAGCCACGUGGGGAUGAAAUAUCUCCGCUUUGGAGAUUCCUCCUCCCAGCUGGGGUAAAGCAGCCUGGAUUCCUCCAAGGCUGUGAAGGCUGGCCCAAGGGGUGCACAGAGAUGCCCAAGGGGGCUGGAGACCACCUUCACUCGGCAGCAGACACAGGCUCAGAGCUGCUGGAAGCCUCCUGGGAUGCUCCAGAGUCAGAAUUGAAAAUGGACACGGAUACUGCCACUGCCUGCUCACGUUUUCCCAGCAAUCCCAAACUGAAGAAAAGCGGUUUUUUUCCCUUUCCUAGGAGGAUUUUCUUACAUGGGAUACGAGGCGAGUGAUUCCAGGCAACUCUGGGCCACGGUGCCAGGAGGGAUUUGGGCUUGGAGCAGACCUGGAGGAUGUUGUGCUCCCCUUUGGAUGGCCACAAAACCCCGGCAGAUCACAGAUACGGAGAGCAAAGCCCCAGCUCAGCACACCACACGCUCCUUAUGUAAUUGUGCUGAGAUGGCCAUUGGCACAGGAGCCGGGAUUUAUGUCUGAAACAGCGAGUGUAGGAAUUCCGUCUCCUUGGUGAUGGAACCAACCAAUGGAAAACACACACACACAUACAAAAGGGGCUCUAAACCCAUCCUUGGACCUUGCUUUUAUUUUCAGAGUGGAGGACAGUGAAUUAGGCUCGCCUGUGGCUAUGAGCAGGGUGUAAAUGUGCCUGGCGUGGCUCUGGCCACCACCUGAGUGAUCCCAAACCAGGCUCAGCUAUCCCAGGAAAGGAGAAUUAGGGUUAAAAAGUCAUGUGGUAAUGAGAGCCCUUCCUGGCACCCUGUGCACUGUCCUUACCACACAGUCUCCCCCUCCAACCUCCCAAAAACAGUGCUGAGUUUGGGUAUAAGUAAUUCCUGCCUUCCCUGCCGAGCCCUGGAUUAAACCCAGCAUUAAUAAAAAUUAAACUGUGUUAGCA
rnacentral:lncRNA from 1 species